ACGAGAGAAUUGCUAGCUUGCUAAUAAUUCUCUAGUGGCGCACGGGUGAGUAACACGUGAGUAACCUGCCCCCGAGAGCGGGAUAGCCCUGGGAAACUGGGAUUAAUACCGCAUAGUAUCGAAAGAUUAAAGCAGCAAUGCGCUUGGGGAUGGGCUCGCGGCCUAUUAGUUAGUUGGUGAGGUAACGGCUCACCAAGGCGAUGACGGGUAGCCGGUCUGAGAGGAUGUCCGGCCACACUGGAACUGAGACACGGUCCAGACACCUACGGGUGGCAGCAGUCGAGAAUCAUUCACAAUGGGGGAAACCCUGAUGGUGCGACGCCGCGUGGGGGAAUGAAGGUCUUCGGAUUGUAAACCCCUGUCAUGUGGGAGCAAAUUAAAAAGAUAGUACCACAAGAGGAAGAGACGGCUAACUCUGUGCCAGCAGCCGCGGUAAUACAGAGGUCUCAAGCGUUGUUCGGAAUCACUGGGCGUAAAGCGUGCGUAGGCUGUUUCGUAAGUCGUGUGUGAAAGGCGCGGGCUCAACCCGCGGACGGCACAUGAUACUGCGAGACUAGAGUAGUGGAGGGGGAACCGGAAUUCUCGGUGUAGCAGUGAAAUGCGUAGAUAUCGAGAGGAACACUCGUGGCGAAGGCGGGUUCCUGGACAUUAACUGACGCUGAGGCACGAAGGCCAGGGGAGCGAAAGGGAUUAGAUACCCCUGUAGUCCUGGCAGUAAACGGUGCACGCUUGGUGUGCGGGGAAUCGACCCCCUGCGUGCCGGAGCUAACGCGUUAAGCGUGCCGCCUGGGGAGUACGGUCGCAAGAUUAAAACUCAAAGAAAUUGACGGGGACCCGCACAAGCGGUGGAGUAUGUGGCUUAAUUCGAUGCAAC
rnacentral:rRNA from 1 species